UCCCUGUGAACUCAUACUUGUCAUUGGUUCUUCUAGGAUCAUUGAUGUAGAUGAACCUGGCAUCUUCUUCACACAAUACAUUAUCAUCAAACUGCGAACUUUUGUGGCGGCUCUUCCUCUGAGACUUGUUAUCAUGAAGUGAAGAUAAAGCCCUAGAGCCCACCUUGGCAUGUACAACAGAUGAACCCCUAGAAAUUUCAAAGCUGGC
rnacentral:misc_RNA from 1 species